UCCUUGAAGGGGUAAACCUAUUGUGAAGUAGGGACACAAAGCUAAGGGUCUGAGCAAAUCAGACUGCCUGGCUGCAAAA
rnacentral:ncRNA from 1 species